rnacentral:rRNA from 1 species
GGGUUGUGAGGUUAAGCGACUAAGCGUACACGGUGGAUGCCCUGGCAGUCAGAGGCGAUGAAGGGCGUGCUAAUCUGCGAUAAGCGCCGGUAAGGUGAUAUGAACCGUUAUAACCGGCGAUACCCGAAUGGGGAAACCCAGUGUGAUUCGUCACACUAUCAUUAACUGAAUCCAUAGGUUAAUGAGGCGAACCGGGGGAACUGAAACAUCUAAGUACCCCGAGGAAAAGAAAUCAACCGAGAUUCCCCCAGUAGCGGCGAGCGAACGGGGAGGAGCCCAGAGCCUGAAUCAGCAUGUGUGUUAGUGGAAGCGUCUGGAAAGGCGCGCGAUACAGGGUGACAGCCCCGUACACAAAAGCGCAUGUGCUGUGAGCUCGAUGAGUAGGGCGGGACACGUGGUAUCCUGUCUGAAUAUGGGGGGACCAUCCUCCAAGGCUAAAUACUCCUGACUGACCGAUAGUGAACCAGUACCGUGAGGGAAAGGCGAAAAGAACCCCGGCGAGGGGAGUGAAAAAGAACCUGAAACCGUGUACGUACAAGCAGUGGGAGCCCCACCACUAAGCCAGUGGUGAACUCCACAUACGCAUCCUUUGCUGAGGAUACGGUUAACGGAGCGAAAGCGACGUUCAACCUCAAAACAAGCAGAGGGGGCUUAGUGGUGGGGUGACUGCGUACCUUUUGUAUAAUGGGUCAGCGACUUAUAUUCUGUAGCAAGGUUAACCGAAUAGGGGAGCCGGAGGGAAACCGAGUCUUAAUUGGGCGUUAAGUUGCAGGGUAUAGACCCGAAACCCGGUGAUCUAGCCAUGGGCAGGUUGAAGGUUGGGUAACACUAACUGGAGGACCGAACCGACUAAUGUUGAAAAAUUAGCGGAUGACCUGUGGCUGGGGGUGAAAGGCCAAUCAAACCGGGAGAUAGCUGGUUCUCCCCGAAAGCUAUUUAGGUAGCGCCUCGUGAAUUCAUCUCCGGGGGUAGAGCACUGUUUCGGCUAGGGGGCCAUCCCGGCUUACCAACCCGAUGCAAACUGCGAAUACCGGAGAAUGUUAUCACGGGAGACACACGGCGGGUGCUAACGUCCGUCGUGAAGAGGGAAACAACCCAGACCGCCAGCUAAGGUCCCAAAGUCAUGGUUAAGUGGGAAACGAUGUGGGAAGGCCCAGACAGCCAGGAUGUUGGCUUAGAAGCAGCCAUCAUUUAAAGAAAGCGUAAUAGCUCACUGGUCGAGUCGGCCUGCGCGGAAGAUGUAACGGGGCUAAACCAUGCACCGAAGCUGCGGCAGCGACACUGUGUGUUGUUGGGUAGGGGAGCGUUCUGUAAGCCUGCGAAGGUGGCCUGUGAGGGUUGCUGGAGGUAUCAGAAGUGCGAAUGCUGACAUAAGUAACGAUAAAGCGGGUGAAAAGCCCGCUCGCCGGAAGACCAAGGGUUCCUGUCCAACGUUAAUCGGGGCAGGGUGAGUCGACCCCUAAGGCGAGGCCGAAAGGCGUAGUCGAUGGGAAACGGGUUAAUAUUCCCGUACUUGGUGUUACUGCGAAGGGGGGACGGAGAAGGCUAUGUUGGCCGGGCGACGGUUGUCCCGGUUUAAGCGUGUAGGUGUGUGUUCCAGGUAAAUCCGGUUCACUUUAACACUGAGGCGUGACGACGAGGCACUACGGUGCUGAAGCAACAAAUGCCCUGCUUCCAGGAAAAGCCUCUAAGCAUCAGGUAACAUCAAAUCGUACCCCAAACCGACACAGGUGGUCAGGUAGAGAAUACCAAGGCGCUUGAGAGAACUCGGGUGAAGGAACUAGGCAAAAUGGUGCCGUAACUUCGGGAGAAGGCACGCUGACACGUAGGUGAAGUGAUUUACUCACGGAGCUGAAGUCAGUCGAAGAUACCAGCUGGCUGCAACUGUUUAUUAAAAACACAGCACUGUGCAAACACGAAAGUGGACGUAUACGGUGUGACGCCUGCCCGGUGCCGGAAGGUUAAUUGAUGGGGUCAGCGCAAGCGAAGCUCCUGAUCGAAGCCCCGGUAAACGGCGGCCGUAACUAUAACGGUCCUAAGGUAGCGAAAUUCCUUGUCGGGUAAGUUCCGACCUGCACGAAUGGCGUAAUGAUGGCCAGGCUGUCUCCACCCGAGACUCAGUGAAAUUGAACUCGCUGUGAAGAUGCAGUGUACCCGCGGCAAGACGGAAAGACCCCGUGAACCUUUACUAUAGCUUGACACUGAACAUUGAGCCUUGAUGUGUAGGAUAGGUGGGAGGCUUUGAAGUGUGGACGCCAGUCUGCAUGGAGCCGACCUUGAAAUACCACCCUUUAAUGUUUGAUGUUCUAACGUGGACCCGUAAUCCGGGUUGCGGACAGUGUCUGGUGGGUAGUUUGACUGGGGCGGUCUCCUCCUAAAGAGUAACGGAGGAGCACGAAGGUUGGCUAAUCCUGGUCGGACAUCAGGAGGUUAGUGCAAUGGCAUAAGCCAGCUUGACUGCGAGCGUGACGGCGCGAGCAGGUGCGAAAGCAGGUCAUAGUGAUCCGGUGGUUCUGAAUGGAAGGGCCAUCGCUCAACGGAUAAAAGGUACUCCGGGGAUAACAGGCUGAUACCGCCCAAGAGUUCAUAUCGACGGCGGUGUUUGGCACCUCGAUGUCGGCUCAUCACAUCCUGGGGCUGAAGUAGGUCCCAAGGGUAUGGCUGUUCGCCAUUUAAAGUGGUACGCGAGCUGGGUUUAGAACGUCGUGAGACAGUUCGGUCCCUAUCUGCCGUGGGCGCUGGAGAACUGAGGGGGGCUGCUCCUAGUACGAGAGGACCGGAGUGGACGCAUCACUGGUGUUCGGGUUGUCAUGCCAAUGGCACUGCCCGGUAGCUAAAUGCGGAAGAGAUAAGUGCUGAAAGCAUCUAAGCACGAAACUUGCCCCGAGAUGAGUUCUCCCUGAGACUUUAGGUCUCCUGAAGGAACGUUGAAGACGACGACGUUGAUAGGCCGGGUGUGUAAGCGCAGCGAUGCGUUGAGCUAACCGGUACUAAUGAACCGUGAGGCUUAACCUUACAACGCCGAAG